AUAAGAAGCUUGGUUAGUUUUUCGGAGUCAAAUAUGACUAGAUGUCAUGUGUAUGAUUGAGUAUAAGAACUAGAAUCGCAACCGUUUCCCAAAAGCUAAAGUAGUGUUUCCUUGUUAGAAGAUACAAAGCCAAAGAAUCAUAAGGACUUCAGCUACACCAUCAAAGCUUUGAGAAGCAAUAAGAAGUUUGGUGAGUGUUUUGGAGUCAAAUAUGACUAGAUGUCAUGUGUAUGAUUGAGUAUAAGAACUAGAAUCGAACCCAUU
rnacentral:sRNA from 1 species